rnacentral:rRNA from 1 species
UACGUAGGUGGCAAGCGUUGUCCGGAUUUAUUGGGUGUAAAGGGAGCGUAGACGGCUGUGCAAGUCUGAAGUGAAAGCCCAGGGCUCAACCCUGGGACUGCUUUGGAAACUGUGGAGCUAGAGUGCUGGAGAGGUAAGUGGAAUUCCUAGUGUAGCGGUGAAAUGCAUAGAUAUAACUUAGAACACCGAUAGCGAAGGCAGCUUACCAGACUGAGUCUGACGCUGAUGCACGAGAGCAUGGGUAGCGAACAGG